rnacentral:rRNA from 1 species
UCAUGACGAGCGCUGGCGGCGUGCUUAACACAUGCAAGUCGAACGGAAAGGCCCUGCUUUUGUGGGGUGCUCGAGUGGCGAACGGGUGAGUAACACGUGAGUAACCUGCCCUUGACUUUGGGAUAACUUCAGGAAACUGGGGCUAAUACCGGAUAGGAGCUCCUGCUGCAUGGUGGGGGUUGGAAAGUUUCGGCGGUUGGGGAUGGACUCGCGGCUUAUCAGCUUGUUGGUGGGGUAGUGGCUUACCAAGGCUUUGACGGGUAGCCGGCCUGAGAGGGUGACCGGCCACAUUGGGACUGAGAUACGGCCCAGACUCCUACGGGAGGCAGCAGUGGGGAAUAUUGCACAAUGGGCGGAAGCCUGAUGCAGCAGCGCCGCGUGCGGGAUGACGGCCUUCGGGUUGUAAACCGCUUUCGCCUGUGACGAAGCGUGAGUGACGGUAAUGGGUAAAGAAGCACCGGCUAACUACGUGCCAGCAGCCGCGGUGAUACGUAGGGUGCGAGCGUUGUCCGGAUUUAUUGGGCGUAAAGGGCUCGUAGGUGGUUGAUCGCGUCGGAAGUGUAAUCUUGGGGCUUAACCCUGAGCGUGCUUUCGAUACGGGUUGACUUGAGGAAGGUAGGGGAGAAUGGAAUUCCUGGUGGAGCGGUGGAAUGCGCAGAUAUCAGGAGGAACACCAGUGGCGAAGGCGGUUCUCUGGGCCUUUCCUGACGCUGAGGAGCGAAAGCGUGGGGAGCGAACAGGCUUAGAUACCCUGGUAGUCCACGCUGUAAACGGUGGGUACUAGGUGUGGGGUCCAUUCCACGGGUUCCGUGCCGUAGCUAACGCUUUAAGUACCCCGCCUGGGGAGUACGGCCGCAAGGCUAAAACUCAAAGGAAUUGACGGGGCCCCGCACAAGCGGCGGAGCAUGCGGAUUAAUUCGAUGCAACGCGUAGAACCUUACCUGGGUUUGACAUGGAUCGGGAGUGCUCAGAGAUGGGUGUGCCUCUUUUGGGGUCGGUUCACAGGUGGUGCAUGGCUGUCGUCAGCUCGUGUCGUGAGAUGUUGGGUUAAGUCCCGCAACGAGCGCAACCCUUGUUCACUGUUGCCAGCACGUUAUGGUGGGGACUCAGUGGAGACCGCCGGGGUCAACUCGGAGGAAGGUGGGGAUGACGUCAAGUCAUCAUGCCCCUUAUGUCCAGGGCUUCACGCAUGCUACAAUGGCUGGUACAGAGAGUGGCGAGCCUGUGAGGGUGAGCGAAUCUCGGAAAGCCGGUCUCAGUUCGGAUUGGGGUCUGCAACUCGACCUCAUGAAGUCGGAGUCGCUAGUAAUCGCAGAUCAGCAACGCUGCGGUGAAUACGUUCCCGGGGCUUGUACACACCGCCCGUCAAGUCAUGAAAGUUGGUAACACCCGAAGCCGGUGGCCUAACCGUUGUGGGGGAGCCGUCGAAGGUGGG